CCUACGGGAGGCAGCAGUAAGGAAUAUUGGUCAAUGGGCGCAAGCCUGAACCAGCCAUGCCGCGUGCAGGAAGACGGCCCUAUGGGUUGUAAACUGCUUUUGAACAAGAGAAAACCUCGGUACGUGUACCGAGCUGAUAGUAUUGUUAGAAUAAGCAUCGGCUAACUUCGUGCCAGCAGCCGCGGUAAGACGAAGGAUGCAAGCGUUAUCCGGAUUCAUUGGGUUUAAAGGGUGCGUAGGCGGACCGAUAAGUCAGUGGUGAAAUCUCUCAGCUUAACUGAGAAACUGCCAUUGAUACUGUCAGUCUAGAGUAUAGAUGAUGUGGGCGGAAUAUGACAUGUAGUGGUGAAAUACUUAGAUAUGUCAUAGAACACCGAUUGCGAAGGCAGCUCACAAAACUAUAACUGACGCUGAGGCACGAAAGUGCGGGGAUCAAACAGGAUUAGAUACCCUGGUAGUCCGCACCGUAAACGAUGAUUACUCGUUGUUGGCAAUAUGACCCGUCAGCGACCAAGCGAAAGCGANAAGAAUACACCNCGGAGGACGCGGCGACGAGAACGACAANAGAGUAGUACGACGNGAGAGNGCGACGACGACACGAGGGAGGAGG
rnacentral:rRNA from 1 species